rnacentral:tRNA from 2 species
GCCUCUGUAGCUCAGUUGGUAGAGCAGGGGACUGAAAAUCCCCGUGUCGUUGGUUCGAUUCCGAUCGGAGGCA